UACAGAGGUCUCAAGCGUUGUUCGGAUUCAUUGGGCGUAAAGGGUGCGUAGGCGGCGCCGUAAGUCAGGUGUGAAAUUUCGGAGCUUAACUCCGAAACUGCAUUUGAUACUGCGGUGCUUGAGGACUGGAGAGGAGGCUGGAAUUUACGGUGUAGCAGUGAAAUGCGUAGAGAUCGUAAGGAAGACCAGUGGCGAAGGCGGGUCUGCUGGA
rnacentral:rRNA from 1 species